GUUCUAAUAGUUAAAGGUACAACGGUGGUUUUUCAAGCUAUUAUUCUAGGUUAGAGUCCUAGUUAGAAUU
rnacentral:tRNA from 1 species